UCUGCCUGAUACCUUACCAUUUAGAAUUCAGCUUCAAUGUCACCUAAUUAAACAGCCUCCCUUGAACACGCAAGCCUCCCCUGAACACCCUUGAACACCAAGCUUACCCAAGCUAAGUAGUUGCUGCCAUUCUCAUCACUUUACCCUAGUUUACUUCUCCUCAUAGUCUAUAUAUUUACUGGAAAUGUUUUACUUAUUUGAUUCCUUCUUGCUUUAACUCCCCUUGUCUAGAACAUGAGUUCUAUGAGAGCAGGGACCUUAUCUGCUUGCAUCCAACUGGUCUCCAAGUACCUGGAAGAGGUCUCAGCCAUUGAAAGCAAACAAUAAGCCCUCACUUCAGUGAAGAACUCCCCCAAUUCCAGUUCUGAUGACUUCUAUGAAGAACAAAAUGUUAUCAAGCAUGCUUUCCCACCCCCAUUCUCCUGGUUCAACAUACAUCAGGGGAAUGAGCUAACUCCUUUUGUACUUCAAGGCCUGGUAUCCAUCAAUUACUGGUGCCAUCAAAACCAUAGUCCUUGCCGUCUCUGUGGUUCAUCCUUAGGGAUGAACUUUGACGUACUUCCUAACACCAAUUGAAAGCAGCGUGUUUCUCAAGGCUCAGACAACAUUUAAGAUGCAAUAGGAGCUUGAAUUAUCAAAUGAGCUCCUCAUCUAACGAGAAAAAAAGAAGACGGGGAUUCAGAUCGGAAGUCACUUUCCUGAAUGUCAUUUUGUUUAGAGUGGCCUCUGUGUGAAUAGCAUCUAAGACCAGGGAAAAGAGUGACUUCAGGCUCAGAAAGCAGAUGACAAUUCCCAUCAAGUCACUAGA